CGUAUGGCGACCGGCGCACGGGUGAGUAACGCGUAUGCAACCUGCCCGAUACCGGGGUAUAGCCCAUGGAAACGUGGAUUAACACCCCAUAGUACUUUUAUCCUGCAUGGGAUGUGAGUUAAAUGUUUAAGGUAUCGGAUGGGCAUGCGUCCUAUUAGUUAGUUGGCGGGGUAACAGCCCACCAAGACGAUGAUAGGUAGGGGUUCUGAGAGGAAGGUCCCCCACAUUGGAACUGAGACACGGUCCAA
rnacentral:rRNA from 1 species